CCACAGCCCCCCGCGGCCGCACCUGCUGGUGCUGCCGGCCGGUGCGACGUGAAUAAAUAAAUAAAUACAGGGAGAGACUUGUCUCUAUACACAGCUCGCGGCGCCGCGCUGUCUGCGGCCGCCGGCCCUGCCGCUUAUUUUCGAGGCGGUGGCGGGGCCGCGUCCCGGGAUGCAAAGUUCAGCCCCGCCGCGGGUCCGGCGCCUCGGGCAGCAGGAACGUCCUUCCCGGGGCGGGCUCUGCCCCAGCCCCGUGAGCUCCCUCCUGCGAACAAAGGCGCCCGGGCCCCGCAGGAAGCGGCGGGGCCGGGCAGCAGCGACCGCGCCCUCGCACCUCGGCCCCGCCCGAGGCGGCCCCGGACAGCCCGGGACAGCCGGGCCCAGCUCCGCACCCUGGCACAGCCUGGAGACCUUCCCUUUAUAAAAACUGAUUUCAACAAAGCGGGAUUAAGUACCUUUACAGAGACAACAUAAAUAGAAAGCACUCCCAGGAGUAAAAAAAUAAAAUGGGCACUAAUUCUGUUGGAAGCGACGCUGGAACAUUUGUUAGGACAGGUUUUCUCCGGGGCAGCUGGGCACAGGGCCAAGGCUCGCAGCUACACAUCCUUCACAUUUGUGGAACAAGCUGAGCAAAACAAGACAACAUUAAAUGCUCUAGGAAGACACAUUUGAUCCUGUCCCCUUCACUAAGAAGAGAAGGAACGUCAUAAAACAGGUGUUCAACCCAUAAAACAGAGUUCUUAAAUGUCAGUCUAAGGAAAACAUUAGCAAGCUAGACCUGUAUGUUUACCUCAGUGCAGCAGUUCACAACUGAAAAACUAGCAUUUGCCCAGGAAUUUGCUGACUUUGUGGUUUCAUUUGCUUUUCAUCCUCUAUAUAAUACUUCCAUCAGAUGUAACAAGACCUUUUACCAAUAUUUGUAGUGUUAUGCAAGAUACAUUCAUGAAAGCACUAAAAAAAUGCAAACUGUUGUGUAUUCUCUUGCAGACCCCCUCCAGCAGGUACAACCACAAUUGCUACUGUGAUGCCUGCCCUGACACAAGUGCAGAAGGCAUGCACUGCCUUGGAAAAGGAAGCAAACCAGGGUGGCUGGUUUAUUGCACUAUUCAAUAAGUUACCUGAGCUAAACAAAUACUUGAACUCACACCUAACCUCGAUAAAGACACUUGGGCUUCAUAUAUCUCUUUCUGGUUCAUUGGUCUUGACCUUUCUGCAAGAAACACCAAGGAGUUGAAGUCAGAUGCUAGAACUGAUUAUGAAUGUAUGAAAAAUAGCCAUUUUAACCACAAAGGAGAGAAAGAAAAGUCACUCCUGUAGUUUGCAUUUGCUUUCUACAGCAAACUGCAGAAUAACUAUAUAUAUAUAUAUAUACACACACGCUUGAGUUUGAAGCUGGUGAGACAGUUAUCAGUUCACAUGAGGGUAAGGACACUACAGAGGUAACAUUCUAAAUCAGUCCUUCAGAACUUUCACAAAUCCCAAACUUUAUCCCAGAAUGAGGGCUGCACUUAAAAACAGCUUAGAAUUGGGGUUUUUUAGAUAUGCUAAGGCAUGGGUUUAGCAGCUACUUACAGUCCAGCCUGCACUGUGGGGAGCUCUCACAUCUCCCUCCAGAACCUGUCAGUAAAGGUUGUCUUAUUUUAAAUAAAAGUUAAUAUGAGUGAGGUUCUACAGUGGUCUUCACACCCUUCUGUUAAGACAGCACAGCACCUGUAAAAUCAUUUCAAAUUCAUUAUCAAUUAACAGGUACCACUUUUAGAUAUCAGCACAUUUAAAAAUUCCUGGGAAGAUCAAUUUUUCUUGUAACAGGUAAGCAAAAGAGACUUUGAUCAGUAUCCGAAUUUCUUCAAGAUGGCUAUUAGUCUGGUUAGUCCUUGGGCAACUGUGCAUCACGAGCUGCAGCAGAUUCUCUAACCUCCAAAGGCUCCUCCAUCUUGGGAGACUUAAAGACACCUCCCUGUUUGUUUCAGAGACUUACUCACUAGUUUGAACCUCUUCACAACAGAACUCAAAACUCUGCAUUCCAUUUGAAUGGGUCAGCUGGUGAAUGUACUGAGGCUUUUUUGCAUCCUUCCUUUGCAGUGAAGUUUCUCUCCUGUAGAUUUGAGGCUCAUGAAAGGAAAACGGGUGAAAUUUCCUGCUUCACAAAAUAAAACAGCGACAGUGGUAAAAUGGUUAUCCUGAAUAGUUCCUCUAGGACAAUCCCUAGAGCAAGAGGACUAUAUAAUGUCUUGAGUAUUUGGAUAUCUUCUAUCUCUUUAGCUGUGCUAUUGCCAGGAGGAAAAACCACCCCUGUGCAAAGGUGCAGUCUAAGGCCCAUGGCUGCUGAGUUACCUUCAGCAAAGUGAUUUGAACAGGAUCAGGCUCAGCUCCCAUUGGAGCUCCAUCAAGGAACACUGCCUGAGCAAGCCCAGCAAAACCACAAGAUUAACAAGUUAAGGAGCUUUUGUCAAAAGGGCAAUAGAUGGACAUUAUCCCAGGGCAGAUAUUGAUGACUAAACUCUUUCACAGUGAGAGCAAAGUCUAAAAUACCAGCAACUGAGGCACAAACUCCAGCCCAAAAUACCACACUGAAAGCCUUUCUGUUCGGCCUUGGAGAACCUUCUUGCUAACAAGCAUUUUCUUUAGCAGUGACAUUGUGAGGACUGAGAAAAGUCACAAGCUGAACACAGGAGUUAAAGGAAAGCAACCGUUUCAUAUAUCCUGUAAUUGCAGGUUCUUACUUCACAGCAGGAGGAGGAGGACUAUUUAUAUUAAAGUCUUAGCACCAUUUAUAAAAAAGGUAUAUAUAGACUGUAUAGCCUGCCACAUUACUUGAAAUCAGCAAACAGACCUGUUUCUGGACUUCAUUUAAGGAUUCCCAUUAAAGAAGGUUUAGGAGAGAAUGGUCUCUGCAACUUGGAAGGACACCCAGAGGGAAAAAAAUUUGCCAAGAUGUAGCAGGAGUUGAAGGGCAGAAAGUAAUAGAAGAAUAAAAAAAAAAGGCAUUUUAAGCUAGGGGUGACAAGCAAAUGAGAUCUAGUUUGAAGAACACAGCUA